rnacentral:rRNA from 1 species
AACGCCUACGGGGCGCAGCAGUAGGGAAUCUUCCACAAUGGACGAAAGUCUGAUGGAGCAACGCCGCGUGAGUGAAGAAGGGUUUCGGCUCGUAAAGCUCUGUUGGUAGUGAAGGAAGAUAGGGGUAGUAACUGGCCUUUAUUUUACGGUAAUUACUUAGAAAGUCACGGCUAACUACGGGCCAGCAGCCGCGGUAAUACGUAGGUGGCAAGGGGUGUCCGGAUUUAUUGGGCGUAAAGCGAGUGCAGGCGGGUCCAUA